GAUGAAGAACGUAGUGAAAUGCGAUAAGUAGUGUGAAUUGCAGAAUUCAGUGAAUCAUCGAAUCUUUGAACGCACAUUGCGCCCCUUGGUAUUCCAUGGGGCAUGCCUGUUCGAGCGUCAUUUGUACCUUCAAGCUCUGCUUGGUGUUGGGUGUUUGUCUCGCCUCUGCGUGUAGACUCGCCUUAAAACAAUUGGCAGCCGGCGUAUUGAUUUCGGAGCGCAGUACAUCUCGCGCUUUGCACUCAUAACGACGACGUCCAAAAGUACAUUUUUACACUCUUGACCUCGGAUCAGGUAGGGAUACCCGCUGAACUUAAGCAUAUCAAUAUGCGGAGGA
rnacentral:misc_RNA from 1 species